AGAGUUUGAUCCUGGCUCAGAACGAACGCUGGCGGCAGGCUUAACACAUGCAAGUCGAGCGCCCUGCAAGGGGAGCGGCAGACGGGUGAGUAACGCGUGGGAAUCUACCCAUCUCUACGGAACAACUCCGGGAAACUGGAGCUAAUACCGUAUACGUCCUUUUGGAGAAAGAUUUAUCGGCAAAGGAUGAGCCCGCGUUGGAUUAGCUAGUUGGUGGGGUAAAGGCCCACCAAGGCGACGAUCCAUAGCUGGUCUGAGAGGAUGAUCAGCCACACUGGGACUGAGACACGGCCCAGACUCCUACGGGAGGCAGCAGUGGGGAAUAUUGGACAAUGGGCGCAAGCCUGAUCCAGCCAUGCCGCGUGAGUGAUGAAGGCCCUAGGGUUGUAAAGCUCUUUCACCGGUGAAGAUAAUGACGGUAACCGGAGAAGAAGCCCCGGCUAACUUCGUGCCAGCAGCCGCGGUAAA
rnacentral:rRNA from 1 species